ACGAACGCUGGCGGCGUGCUUAACACAUGCAAGUCGAACGAUGAAGAAAAGAAUUGAAGCUUCGGCAGAAAUUCAUUUCGGAUUAGUGGCAGACGGGUGAGUAACGCGUGAGCAACCUACCUCUUACAAAGGGAUAGCCUCGGGAAACCGGGAUUAAUACCAUAUAACAUUGCGACGAAGCAUUUCGAUGCAAUCAAAGCUACGGCGGUAAGAGAUGGGCUCGCGUCCCAUUAACCAGAUGGUGAGGUAACGGCUCACCAUAGUAACGAUGGGUAACCGGCCUGAGAGGGUGAACGGUCACACUGGAACUGAGACACGGUCCAGACUCCUACGGGAGGCAGCAGUGGGGAAUAUUGCACAAUGGAGGGAACUCUGAUGCAGCGACGCCGCGUGAGUGAUGAAGGAAUUCGUUUCGUAAAACUCUGUUCUAUGGGAAGAAAAGGACUGUACCAUAGGAGAAAGCUCCGGCUAAAUACGUG
rnacentral:rRNA from 1 species